rnacentral:rRNA from 1 species
AAGCACCGGCUAACUCUGUGCCAGCAGCCGCGGUAAUACAGAGGUGGCAAGCGUUGUUCGGAAUCACUGGGCAUAAAGGGCGCGUAGGCGGCGAGGCAAGUCGGGUGUGAAAUCCCUCAGCUCAACUGAGGAACUGCGCCCGAAACUACCUUGCUAGAGUGCAGGAGAGGAGAGUGGAACUCCUAGUGGAGCGGUGAAAUGCGUAGAGAUUAGGAGGAACGCCGGUGGCGAAAGCGACUCUCUGGCCUGUAACUGACGCUGAGGCGCGAAAGCUAGGGGAGCAAACGGGAUUAGAUACCCCGGUAGUCCUAGCCGUAAACGAU